CCCCGCGGCUGGAAGACCUUCUGUCCGCGCAGUUCCCUGUUUUUAAAGCGUCGUGCGGGAAGCGCGGCGGUCACCUCCCUGGUCUUUGGAAGCAGAGCGAUGAUGCUUCCUUGGGUUAAUUUAUCCCAGCAGUUUUGUGGCGUAACGUAGCAGUCCUGCGGCCACGAGAGCCACGUCGCGGGGCAGGAGGGGGAGACGCGCGUGGUAACGCGGCCUGCCCGCGCUCGUCAGCGCUUGCGAAACGGUUUAGCCCCCUGUUGCCCGUAGGAAUUUAGUGCAGAGUUUUGUCAUAAGUCUUUACAAGUUGCUCUCCACAGGGGCAGAUACUUCCAGCAUCGCCCUGCUGCUGUUUGGGUCUGUCCUGACCCCCCGUCGCAGUCACGUGCCCUCCAUUUACCCUACGUGAAAAGGCGUAGCUGUCAUCACAAUGCAUCCCUGAGGCUUUUUCUCCAAAUCAAUUUUAAUUUGUGCAAGUUCAGCUCCUUUUGAAUCUUUCAUUUUCCCGUGGCAGACUCGAAAUGGCUUUUGAACGGUGCUGAUGUGACCCCAAAUUUGCUGAAAUUCCCUAGCUCCGUCUGUAAGGAGUAGUACCGCUCACUUCCCAAUUUGGGGCUGGUUUUUACUGUAGGAAGCAUACAGCGUCUUCAUGACUGUAUGUGUACAGACAUUACGCGUUCGCUACACAAACACACCAUUUUAGUGAUAUGUUUCUUCAUUUUAUUUCUGUAGUUUGGGCGGACUGCAGGCUACGCUGGCGCUGACUGAUAAGAACGCGUCCUCCUCCCUAAUCUGAACCCACAUUAGAAAAGUCUCAGAAAUUCUGGUGUUCGACUGAAAGAUCUGUGAAAGCGCAGCUCUUCAGGCGCGCCCUCUUAGUAGUACGCCUUCUAGCAGCGAGUUCAAGAGCAGUAUCUAUGCUUCAGUGGAAAGCCAAGCAAUCAGAGAAACCUACGUGAACAUCUAUAGUAGAUGACUGCUCAGACAUUCACUUCAGAAACAGCUGUGCUAACCAAAAAAUCCCUGCAACGUUUGUCUCUCCGAGGUUGUUCCCCUUGCAGCACAGCCAGCGAGGGCCGUACGAACGCUGCUCAUCCACGUCCAUACAAAGUCAGUCAGAUUACACUUAAAUAGCCUGCAACAGUGAUCUGGGCUGACCUGUGGCAUCUAGUUUGCAAACAGCUGAACUCAUGUCAGAUAUUACCACACUCCAGAUGCUUGUUUCAACUCCUAUGAAAUUAUCACUGCCCCUCCCUUCCCUCCCUCCAUCCCCCCGGCCACCAAGAAGAGAGCGGAACAAAAUGUGUAGGCACACCAUGUUCAGUUUGGCUCGAGCAGUGUAAACUGCUGAUGAAAAUGAGUUUUGCUAAUGCAGCAGACUUUACACAUUAAUGAAUUAGGAAAUAAAUUCACAUUUGGUGACAUCUAGAGGAUAGACAAAUAGCUUUAGGACCUCAAGACAGAUCUGGAACAUGAAUUUUGGCCAAGCCCCGUGGUAUAAAUAAAUCUUAAAACAGCCAUGUAAAAUAAACUGGAACCUGGUCUAUUCUGGUGCUUCAAAAUAAAAGUCUGGAAUUGCAAAAAGAAAAAAACAAGCUUAACUCGGCGUGAUUUUAUUGAAAAGAGUGGUUUUGGAACAGUUAUAUCUGUCUGACGCUCUGUGUGAACACUGCUGACUAAAUACCAGAAUAAUUACCAUGCUCAGAAGACUAAAAUACACAGCAGUAGCUAUAGAGGAAAAAUAUUCUGGGAUAGCUCUACAAAAUUUAGCAACAGAGUAGCACAGAGCAGCACUGACAGUUAAACCAGCAUGAAAAGUAGUUUUCCUGGCAUAAUAUUUCACUUACAGAAAGAUAUGGUAAUACUAGCUUUCCUUUUUGAUAAUAUAAACUGCCAUGUACAAGGAGAGGGUUUUAGGAUGUAGUUUUGACAUGGGAACAAAGCUAAUAGUUUAAGCACAACAGAUUUGAUACUUUGGGGAGAGUCUUCCAGUGUGACUUGCUUGUGUCCAAUAAGGAGGUCAUGUGAUUUGCUCAAGCUCAGCAGGACAACUGCAAACAGAGCCUGAUUAUUCUGACAUCCUGCUACUGCUGUUAGCAUAAAACGUACCAGUUAUAUAAAUAUAUAGAGAGAGACUUAUUAAGUGAUUUUUAAAAAAAGUGUCAUAUACUUCCUAACACCUCUUGAACAUGUUUGCUGGUUGCAGUUGUUUAGCACUGUAUAUUCCACUUUUUACCCUCUCUCUACCAAAGUUUAUGGCCUACAUGACCUGUACGCUCCUGUGUUCCACAUGCAUUUGAAUUGCAGGAUCCCCUACUUCCCCUAGAAAGUAGAAGCAACGUUCUUGCUCGUUAUUUGUUUUCACCAGGGGUUUUCUUUUUGUCUGGAAGGUCAUCCUUGAUAGCAGUUUGUGAACUUGAGUGGGCGAAAGAGCAGGGAUGAGAGGCAAAUCGUUUUUCUAGCAGUAGAAACGAUAAGCGUUCUGUAGUCAGGUGACAGCAAUGCCUCUUUGUGGUUAGCUGUGCUUGAAAAAGCCCUGCAGUGGGCCGCGGCAGUAUCCUGACCAGUGAGAGCUUUUAUUCUUUAGCUGGUCAGAACCAGGCAAACAUCUCCAUCUGUUAGCUUGAGGCCAUGAAAUGAAGAUGUCUCCUAGAGCCAAAACAGCAGAGAUUCUUCUAAGGUAGUUAGGAGACACAGUAUUGCUUGCCUCCUUGCUUCGGUUUUACAGUUUUCAUAAGGAAGAUCGGAAAUGUUAAAAUGGGUGUGCUACAGUAUUCAGAAGUUACAAGGUCUGAUUAUAUAACUUACUCAAACAGAGAAACCAAGGAAAAAAAUUUGACAGUAAAAACAACAUAAGAGUACUCAUAACGCGUGCUUCCUGCGUAGGAUAUUUUUGACUGAUUUAUAAAAGGCAUGUAUUUUGCUUUCUUGGGAACUGUUGAUGGAGUCUACUAUGAAGCUGUACGUUAGGCUUUUAUAAUACAAGAUUUUAGAUACAGCACAUCCCUUGGAUCAACCACAGCAAGGAGGAAAUUCCCUCAGCAUCAGGAUCCUGUGAAGAGGCAAAGGUCACUGAAGGAAAUCUGUGUUAAAAAGCACCAUAGCUUCUAAUAUUUACAAAACCGAGACAAAAAGACCAAGUCUUAUCUGUUAAGAAACUUUUCUUACCUGAAAAAGAUCUCAGGU